GAUGAAGAACGUAGCGAAAUGCGAUAAGUAAUGUGAAUUGCAGAAUUCAGUGAAUCAUCGAAUCUUUGAACGCACAUUGCGCCCGCCAGCAUUCUGGCGGGCAUGUCUGUUCGAGCGUCAUUUCAACCCUCGACAUCCCCUUGGGGAAGUCGGCGUUGGGGACCGGCAGCACACCGCCGGCCCCGAAAUUGAGUGGCGGCCCGUCCGCGGCGACCUCUGCGUAGUAAUCCAACCUCGCACCGGAACCCCGACGUGGCCACGCCGUAAAACACCCAACUUUCUGAACGUUGACCUCGGAUCAGGUAGGAAUACCCGCUGAACUUAAGCAUAUCAAUAAGCGGAGGA
rnacentral:misc_RNA from 1 species